rnacentral:rRNA from 1 species
CCUACGGGGCGCAACAGCGAGGAAUAUUGGUCAAUGGUCGGGAGACUGAACCAGCCAAGCCGCGUGAGGGAUGAAGGUACAGAGUAUCGUAAACCUCUUUUGUCAGGGAACAAAGACGGGGACGUGUCCCCGGAUGAGUGUACCUGAAGAAAAAGCAUCGGCUAACUCCGUGCCAGCAGCCGCGGUAAUACGGAGGAUGCGAGCGUUAUCCGGAUUUAUUGGGUUUAAAGGGCGCGCAGGCGGUCUGUUAAGUCAGCGGUCAAAGCCCGGGGCUCAACCACGGGCCGCAGUUGAAACUGGCGGGC